GCAGUGAUGGAGGAGGAGGCGGAGACCGAGGAGCAGCAGCGAUUCUCUUACCAACAGAUGGGGUUUUCGUGAGGGUACAACGUCGGCAUUAGACACUCCAGGUGACGCCCGUAGCGCGGUGGGCGUUCGGGCCGGAGCUCUGGAACGCUGGCCCUGGAGGCGUCGACCCCUCGUUACUGAUGCAGGGACGCGGUGCGGACCAGUCAGGCCCAGAGCUCGUCCUUAGAUGUGGGUUCGAAUCUCUACCCCGCCAACCUGUGAUCGUAUCGACUCGGCCCAGAUGCAAUUUUCUUCUCUGCAAAAUCGUCAUAA
rnacentral:sRNA from 1 species